UAUCCUUCAGUACCAAUGAGUCGAUUUAAUCUCUGAUACUUUUCUCACUGAUUAACAGUUAUCACCAGUCAAAGGACAAAGUUUGCACCACUGAAACACUUUAAAAACAAAGGAAUGAAAAAUUUAUGACUAUGCAUCUGUGCAUCUUUCCUCAGGAAUCAAGAAAUCACUUAAAUUUACCUUGUAUUUUGUAUUUUUCUCACUCUUCUCACGCUAACUUCUCUACUUUCUCAUUACUUAAAACUAUGGGUUUUCAUUGCUGUAUUUAUCAUAACACAAUUCAAUAAGUCUAUCUUUUCUAGUGUCAUUCUUGAGAUACUGAACUCAUCUUCUUCUGCUCUUCGUGCUCUUUUAUUGCUGUCAGCAUAGUCUAAAUGUCACCACGUUUCCCAGCCAGAGGACACAAGGUCAUUACCCGAGGAAUUGUCUCCUGUGAUCACAUGCCUUUCAGUCAUUCUGCUGAGCACAUGAUACCAGUCACAGUGUGACUGCAUCCUUAGGGACAUUUACAGAAGUUCUCCAGCCAACAUCGUACACGAUGAGCAAGUAGAAAGCAGUAGAUUCAUCAGAAUCAUAGAGUUUGCUUCAAAGUAAUUACCAAAAUCACCAUCACUAAGGAUGGCAGUGAGCUUGACUUUUGGAUCAGACAAAUAUAAAUUUGGGAAUGCUCAGAACUUGCUCUAUUUUUGUUGGGUUGUGGACUGUAAUUGUUAGGUGAUUAUUAACUCAUUUUAUAAUACAACUCUCUUUAUUUCAAGCUUAGACUUACUGUAGUUCUGCUUUCUACUUUAUUCUGUUUUAAACUCUCAAGCAACUGAAACUUAAAAUAUCUAAUGAAAAAACUGAUAUUUUCAGCUGUGCAGAGGGAAACAAUUCUUGCUUGUAAAGUGAACAGUGCAGACUCCGUUUCAGAGGAAAGAAGACUGAUAUGAGGUGGCCACUCAUGUAGUUAGAAAAUAUGGCUUCUGGUGAAGCCCCUAGAUCCUCCUCAACAUCCCAUUUUGCUACCAACUAUGGUGUGCGUGCUGACCCACACCCGCAGAGCCAGGCAGGGGCUCGGGCAGCACAUCAUGCUGUGGUGUCAUUCCAGUAGGAGCUGCCUAACAGGCCAGGCCUUUCACAAACCUGGUUCUGUAGGAAGAUUGCAGCAGGUGACGGUGAUAAUUAAUGGCCUCUGCAUUUUUGCCUCUGUCUCUUGGUUUUAGUAAUUUGACUGCUUUCAUGGCAAAGACUGACACAAUAGAUUUUUAUACUCUAAAUAUUUUCCGUGCAGUUCAAUACUGCCUUGUUAGAACAUUUAUUAGCAGGGCAAAUAAUGACUCACAGGUGUUGUGCAACUUUUUUAUAACAGGAAGCAUAGGUGUUAGACAAGAAAAUAUAAUUACUCUUCACUUGUGCUGAAAAAUAAACACAAAAUCUGAAUAGUAAGGGUGAACAUCAAUUUCAGUCAAAAAAAUUGGGGAAGCAUGUGAUCAGAGGGCAAAGUUACAAAAGGAAUGUUACAAAACAGGGCCUUACGCAGUUACAUUCAGGUAUGAGAUCCUACCUUUCAAUACCAGCAUAGGGCGUUUGCAUUUUAGAUACAUAUUUUUGUCUAAAAAAUGUUUCUCAGCUGCUCCUUUUGAUAUUCAUCUCUAAAAGCAUUAGGCACAACUAUCUGCUGUGCAGGAGUCCUGUUCCCCUAAUGGGGGAAAGUUGUAAGCCACAGGAUGGCUGCCAACAACCCACCCCACUGACCACAGCUGCCACAGUACCUCAACCUCCUCUGUACUGCUGAUACAACCCUGUUGAUGUCCCCGGCUCUCCCUCAUCUCCCUUUGGGUGCAGGACAAGGGCCCCCUGGGUCUCUCCAGGAUAUGCUGGGGCUCACGCCAGCCCUGUGCCAGGCAAGGAUGGACCAAGCUCAGUUCUGCUAGGGGACUGCUCAGAGUUUCCCUAAGGCAAUAUGGCCACCUUCAAACUUGUUGAAGGCCUGGCAAUGCUACACCCAUUCAGACCCAGGCAACUUCUUGUGAAUAUGUUUUAAAGCAAAAACAACAAAAACUAAGCCUUGAGAAAGCUUCUUUGGAGCACAUAGGUUCAGCAAACAUUCCUCAGCUUUCUUCUACCUAAACUCUCAAACGACCUGAGCUCCUGCAUCCCAAAGUUCGGUAGAAUGGAGGCACGAAUUUUCACGCCCUUGACUAUUUUGGCAUUAUUUGAAUCAGGCAGAACUUGGGAGUCCAAACUGUGCCUAAGUUAAAUUGCCUGGACCGAGACCCUUCAUAAGGCAAUAAUUCUAAUGGCUCAUGCCACAGCUUGUUACACAGUUUCCUAUAUUUUCUAUGCAAAGAAAAAGAAAAAAAAAAACCAUGAUGCUUACUGCUCUUCCUCCUCUUACACAUCACUUAGGUUGAAGACAAUCUGGCUCGUUACCGCACUUGCAGGAAGCGUGGUACAAAUUGUCUGGGAUGAUGAAAUGCACACCUGCAAUAGCAGCCAAUCCAUUUUCACACACAUUACAAGGGAAGUUCACUUGCUUUGUUAACAUGAUAUUUUUCUAGUACAGAUAUAUUUUAAGCCCAGGCUUGUUUUUACAUCCAAUUAGGAUUUAUCUUCACAUGGCCUAGAAGAAGGAGAGGGUUGGGAAAAUUCAACAGAAUGUAACCUCAGUUUGAAAAGCUGAAACUAUAUAGUUGAUAUCCAUCACUCACCCAGUAGACACGUGUGAAAUAUUUGAAAGCCUUUACAGACUUUGGGACUGUUGAAGACAAUUGUCAACAACAAAAAAUCUGACCUGUCUGUUGCUAAAAAUUUUCUCAAAGUGGACACAGUGUGUUCAGCCCGUCUUCUGCCAGCUAAUCAGGUGAUAUCACUCCUUUAUGUCCUUCCCUCUGCUUAUUACUGGCAGGACACAGACUGAUAAAGGACAGGCAUACAUCUUAAGGACACAGACCGAUUAUUCUUCAUUAGAAGGAAGGAUGAAGCAAUGUCCCUAGAGUACUCCAAAAACACCCCACAAAGUAUUUAUUACAAUUUUCCCAGAACUAUUCCUUCUAUAGGCUGACAUCCGACAUGGACUUACAUAGAUACAGCAAUAAAUAGGCUUCCUAAAAUUAAAGGAGUUGUAGGCUACACAUUUUUCCUUCUAUUGUUUUCUCAGAACUAUGAGAAGAGGGAAUAUUUUGGUGUUCACUGUUUGGUUUUCCAGGAUUACUACAGUUUGUAUGAAGGCAUUCAAUGGUAGCUCGAGUUUUUGGUUUUUUUUUUUAUAUGGGUACAGUUGAGGUCUACAUGAGAUAUUCUGUCUCGGAGGAAAUAAUCUUUCAUUGAUUUCUUUGCCCCUGCCUGUGCACUCUGAUCCUGUUGGCAGUUCUGGCUUUCACACGAUGAAAGUGUUUAAGCAGUUUAAAGAACUUCAGUGCAGGAUGUGAAUACAUACAUGUAUAAUGCCACUUCCUCUCUGCUUUCAGUAGACCUUGGAGUAAAAGUGAAAGCACUCAACAUUUAGCACAAAAGCAAGCAGCUGCUGCUGUGGCUGGAAAAAGAAAGCUGACAGCAGACAGCCCCCUUUUGGUUAGUACGUUAAUGACCAUUUUGUGUGACUGGUACACUAAUGUGAGAGAUUGUACCAGUGAACUGAACUUACCACAACACAAAUAAGAAGAAACAAUUGUUACAUAGCAGAGGCUAAUGUUUGUAUAGGAAGACAUUAAGUUCAGAGCACAUUUGUCUUCAACAGGAACCCAACAUCUUUCACCACUUUCAACUCUGCUUGCCCUGUGGACUUAGCCUUCUCUAAGCUAUUUCCAGACACAAGCAGCAAGUCUUGUCACAAGCUGUUCUCAUCGAGGUGAGCAUCACUUGAGGAGGAAAGGCUCUGCAAACCAAGUUCUUCAUCUAAGGACAAGAUCUAGAUUUAACAGAAUGGAGGGAUAUUAUCAUUACAUCUACAGGAGAUGGAUACUGUCUAAUUAAUAGGGUGUAUUGGCUGUAUACAUACCAAGAAACCUGCAAGCAGACAGAACUAUGAAAUGUAAGGAAGUAAGAAAGCAAGCAAAACGAACAACCUGGAACAAACAAUGAAUGCCACCUUUGUUCUUUUUUAAAUGCAUGUGAAUGUGAAGUCCUAACUCAAGUUUCACAACAUUCUGACAUAAGUGGUGUGCAUAAGGAAAACAGAAAGAUGGAAAUUUUAAGGCAGUCUAUUAACUUCUAAAGGUUUCUCUUCUGAUUGGUUACCAAUGGAGAAAUAAGUACAACCUGGAUUCACAUUUCGAAACAAGCACAGGGAAAAACAAACUUAGGGGAAAAUCUACUGCUGUUUCAAAAGCUUGGGACUAUGAAACCUCUGAGCUGAUGCAAAUUAUUGCAGUAUCUGCCCUAAGCCAGUCCUGGUGAGCUCUACGACAUACUGUACUCUUACAGACUUCUCUGGGUUUUUUCAGAAGACACAGAGACAGACAAAGUGGACAGCCUGUACAUGGAUGCUCCUGUUCUGUGAUUUACUUCAUAUCCUUUUGCUCAUUCUCAUGAUGCAGUUUCACCUCAGCUAUCAAAGGAGCAAGGGUCUUCCUGGGAACAUCUUCCUUACAUCAAACCAUCACAGCCUGAUCUCAGUUGUGAAGAAUCAAGUGCUGGUGUGUAUGGGCCAGGUGAUAUGUGCAACUUCUUCAUGUGAACUCAAGUGGGACAGGCAAGAAGAGAUGGUAUCACGAUCUCAGGGGCUUGUCUGAGAUGGUAAUGCCAAAGAUUUUAGAGGAAGAGCCUCGUUACUCAGUCUGACCCAAAGUGUCUUAAAGCUACUCGUAUAAUUGAAUAGAUCUCCCUUGAGCAGAUGCCUCAGGAGCCAAUAAGAAGGCUAUAGCUGAGAGAAGUAAUUGGACGUCACAUCAAUCAAAAUUCAUGAUUAUCUUGAAACCUCUCAGGAACAGGGGCAGUCAGUAUCAUUUUAAAUACUCCUACAAUAGAUUCAAAUUACGCCAUCCUGAGCUAGUAGCAUGGUCCAACCCUCUAAGACACAUCAUGCUGCUGUGUGACCUAGGCACUGGCUGAUUUCUCUUCUGAAUCAGCUGAGUGCUAAUUAUAUUCUAUUAUAUUUUAAAGAAAAAUCCAAGAGUGAAGUUACACAAGGUCAGUUCUUUGCAGGCAGUAACCUCCGCAAAGGAAGCAAAAGGGGACUUGAACAAAGGCUGCUGUUAUGCCAUACCAACCCACAGGGAUGUCCAGGUACAGGAGGGAGCACAUUGUGCACCCUCCUACAUGUGUAAACAAAGCAAGGUUGUGCCCCUCUUCAGCACAGUACUCCAGAACUGCAAAAUUACCCAGACCUGCAGGGCUCUAGAUGAGUGACUUGCUGAAGGUAAAACAAGUUGAGACAGAAACCUGAUCUUCUCUCUUCUUCUAAGACUUAGCUUUUGAACCUGAACCAAACCAUACCAAAGUUAAAGGAGAAUUCCUAUUUCUUGUAAUGAUUUUCAGAGAAAGUCCUCAAGCCCCAGGGCUACCUGAUAGGAAGAUGUAAAUGCAUGUAAAUGUAUGAAAUCUUGAGCUGCAUGACAGGUAAGGGAUUUACCUGAGUAAGAAGAAAGAAUGUUCCCACUCCUGAUUCCGUAGAUAUGAAUCUCAUUCACUCGUUGCUGGUUGUAUGUACAAUCACUCCUCAGUUGCUCAAGCAGAACAAUGCAGCUGGCAACAGAUUUCAUUGUAUAUUUUGCUUGGAAAAAAUAACAUAUGCAAGAACAUCUGGAGAGCAUGCCCUCCUCCCUCUGCACAUAAAAGAAUGACAGAGAUGGUGGUAGAACUGCUCAGAGGCUUGGCAGCACCCCACAAAAUAUCUCAUGUUGUCACACUUAUUUGUCACACUGAGCAACUGGAUUCUUUCUCAGUUGGCUGCAUAGGACAGCAACUGUAAUAUCCUGGCACUUGUAGUGAAAUAUACACUUAAACCUGAGGGCACACAGUACAGAGAAGUCUCCACCUCAUUUCUGGCAAUCACCUUCGAUACUGCGCAACAACUGCAUUCAAAGCACCUCUGUGCCUGAGCACUCCCUACACAAACAGAAUCCAAUUUCUUCAUUCUCUCUGUAUAUUAUUGGCUUGGCUACAAUUCUGUCUAGUAAGAAGUUGUUCCCCACAGUCUCAAAGACGCUUACAAGCCAACUGCUGCUAGACCAUUCCUUCCCUCCCCCAACACCUCCUCAUCAGGUUUACACUAUACUCUCCUGCUUGGUUUUCUCUAGCUUUGUUAUGAAGAUUUCAAGCAAUAAAAAGCAAUU